rnacentral:rRNA from 1 species
GUCUACAGCCAUGCCACCUUGAAUAUGUCCGAUCUCGUCUAAUCUCGGAAGCUAAACAGGGUUGGGCCUGGUUAGUACUUGGAUGGGAGACCACCUAGGAAUAUCAGGUGCUGUAGGCA